rnacentral:rRNA from 1 species
UGGAGGUUUCCUAGCGCUGCCCGGUUGAUCCUGCCAGUAGCAUAUGCUUGUCUCAAAGAUUAAACCAUGCAAGUCUAAGUACACACGGCCGGUACAGUGAAACUGCGAAUGGCUCAUUAAAUCAGUUAUGGUUCCUUUGAUCGCUCCAACGUUACUUGGAUAACUGUGGCAAUUCUAGAGCUAAUACAUGCCAACGAGCGCUGACCUCCGGGGAUGCGUGCAUUUAUCAGACCCAAAACCCAUGCGGGGUGCCCCCCGGGGCGCCCCGGCCGCUUUGGUGACUCUAGAUAACCUCGAGCCGAUCGCUGGCCCUCGUGGCGGCGACGUCUCAUUCGAAUGUCUGCCCUAUCAACUUUCGAUGAUAUUUCCCUGCGAUGUAGUUCAGGAU